UGAACGCUAGCUACAGGCUUAACACAUGCAAGUCGAGGGGCAGCAUUUUAGUUUGCUUGCAAACUGAAGAUGGCGACCGGCGCACGGGUGAGUAACACGUAUCCAACCUGCCGAUAACUCCGGAAUAGCCUUUCGAAAGAAAGAUUAAUACCGGAUAGCAUACGAAUAUCGCAUGAUAUUUUUAUUAAAGAAUUUCGGUUAUCGAUGGGGAUGCGUUCCAUUAGUUUGUUGGCGGGGUGACGGCCCACCAAGACAACGAUGGAUAGGGGUUCUGAGAGGAAGGUCCCCCACAUUGGAACUGAGACACGGUCCAAACUCCUACGGGAGGCAGCAGUGAGGAAUAUUGGUCAAUGGGCGAGAGCCUGAACCAGCCAAGUAGCGUGAAGGAUGAAGGCUCUAUGGGUCGUAAACUUCUUUUAUAUGGGAAUAAAGUUUUCCACGUGUGGAAUUUUGUAUGUACCAUAUGAAUAAGGAUCGGCUAACUCCGUGCCAGCAGCCGCGGUAAUACGGAGGAUCCGAGCGUUAUCCGGAUUUAUUGGGUUUAAAGGGAGCGUAGGUGGAUUGUUAAGUCAGUUGUGAAAGUUUGCGGCUCAACCGUAAAAUUGCAGUUGAAACUGGCAGUCUUGAGUACAGUAGAGGUGGGCGGAAUUCGUGGUGUAGCGGUGAAAUGCUUAGAUAUCACGAAGAACUCCGAUUGCGAAGGCAGCUCACUAGACUGUCACUGACACUGAUGCUCGAAAGUGUGGGUAUCAAACAGGAUUAGAUACCCUGGUAGUCCACACAGUAAACGAUGAAUACUCGCUGUUUGCGAUAUACAGUAAGCGGCCAAGCGAAAGCAUUAAGUAUUCCACCUGGGGAGUACGCCGGCAACGGUGAAACUCAAAGGAAUUGACGGGGGCCCGCACAAGCGGAGGAACAUGUGGUUUAAUUCGAUGAUACGCGAGGAACCUUACCCGGGCUUAAAUUGCAACAGAAUAUAUUGGAAACAGUAUAGCCGUAAGGCUGUUGUGAAGGUGCUGCAUGGUUGUCGUCAGCUCGUGCCGUGAGGUGUCGGCUUAAGUGCCAUAACGAGCGCAACCCUUAUCUUUAGUUACUAACAGGUGAUGCUGAGGACUCUAGAGAGACUGCCGUCGUAAGAUGUGAGGAAGGUGGGGAUGACGUCAAAUCAGCACGGCCCUUACGUCCGGGGCUACACACGUGUUACAAUGGGGGGUACAGAAGGCGGCUACCUGGUGACAGGAUGCUAAUCCCAAAAACCUCUCUCAGUUCGGAUCGAAGUCUGCAACCCGACUUCGUGAAGCUGGAUUCGCUAGUAAUCGCGCAUCAGCCAUGGCGCGGUGAAUACGUUCCCGGGCCUUGUACACACCGCCCGUCAAGCCAUGAAAGCCGGGGGUACCUGAAGUACGUAACCGCAAGGAGCGUCCUAGGGUAAAACUGGA
rnacentral:rRNA from 1 species